rnacentral:rRNA from 1 species
UAGCGUACGGGUGAGUAACACGUAAGAAUCUUCCUCACAAUGUAAAGAAAUUUUACAUAGUCAAAAGGCAUAGUUCCGUUGUGAGAUGAGCUUGCGGAGGAUUAGGUAGUUGGUAGAGUAAAAGCCUACCAAGCCAAAGAUCCUUAGCUGAUUUGAGAGAAUGAUCAGCCACACUGGGACUGAGACACGGCCCAGACGCUUUCGAGCGGCAGCAGUGAGGAAUUUUGGACACUGGGCGAAAGCCUGAUCCAGCUAUAUCGCGUGAGGUAUGACGGCUAUUUUGGUUGAAAUCCUCUUUUCUAAAGGAAAAGAUUAUGACACAUCUUUAGGAACAAGUCCCGGCUAAUCUCGUGCCAGCAGCCGCGGUAAUACGAGAGGGGCAAGCGUUAUUCGGAAUGAUUGGGCGUAAAGCGCACGUAGAUGGGUAUGUUUCUGUCUCAAGAAAAGGCCAAAGCUUCACUUUGGAUCCUUGAAGCAGACCAUAUCUGGAGUAAGUGAAAGGAAAAUAGAAUUCCUAAAGGAGAGGUAAAAUUUGUUGAUCUUAGGAGGAAUACCAAAAGCGAAGGCAGUUUUCUUGCACUUGACUGACAUUGAGGUGCGAAAGCGUGGGGAGCAAAAGGGAUUAGAUACCCCUGUAGUCCACGCCAUCAACUAUGACCAUUCCUUGUUGGACCAGUCUUAUGGUUCAGCAAGUUAGCUAACGCGGAAAAUGGUCCGCCUGAGGAGUACGGUCGCAAGACUAAAACUCAAAGGAAUAGACGGGGGCUCACACAAGUGGUGGAACAUGUGGUUUAAUUCGAAACUACGCGCAAAACCUUACCAGUUCU